AACGAACGCUGGCUGCAGGCUUAACACAUGCAAGUCGAACGCCCCGCAAGGGGAGUGGCAGACGGGUGAGUAACGCGUGGGAAUCUACCCAGUUCUACGGAACAACAGUUUGAAACGACUGCUAAUACCGUAUACGCCCUACGGGGGAAAGAUUUAUCGGAAUUGGAUGAGCCCGCGUAAGAUUAGCUAGUUUGUGGUGUAAUGUCCUACUAAGGCGAAGAUCUUUAGCUGCUCUGAGAGGAUGAUCAGCCACACUGGGACGUAGACACGGCCCAGAUCACUACGGGAGUCAGCAGUGGGGAAUAUCGGAGAAUGGGUGCAAGACUGAUCAAGCCAUGCCGCGUAAGUGAUGAAGGCCUUAGGCUUGUAAAGCUCUUUCACCGAUGAAGAUAAUGACGGUAGUCGGAGAAGAAGCCCCGGAUAACUUCGUGCCAGCCGCCGCGGUAAGAC
rnacentral:rRNA from 1 species